UUAUCCUCUGAGCCAUCUCUCCAGCCCCCGACUCCUGAACUUUCAAUUCUCCUGUCUCUACUUCCCAAGUAGCUAGGACUCAACCAGCCUCCAGCUUCAUUGUUUAGCAAAUGACGUCUUCACAGUACAUUUUGUGUUUUGUCUUGCUCCAAACUAAAAUGGUUCUUUUAUGUGGGAAUGUAAGCUUAUUUUCUUUCUUAAAUUUUUUUAGUUUGCUUGUUUGUUUUUAUUAAGUUGUAUUUAUUUAUUUUAUAUGUGCGUAUGUGCACGUGUAUAUGUGCAGGAGGUCAGAGGACAACUUUUGGUAAUUGGCACUUUUUCCACCAUGUGAGUCUCAGCGCUUGCUCUCUCUCUCUCUGUGUGUGUGUGUGUGUGUGUGUGUGUGUGUGUGUGUGUGUGUGUCUCCCUGUCUCUGUUUUUCUCCCUCGCCCUCUCUCUCCCCUUCCCCUUUUUGUUUUUUUUUUUUUCCAGACAGGGUUUCUCUGUGUAACAGAGCACUGCUGUCCUGGCUGUUUGUAGAUUUGGCUGGCCUCAGACUAACAGAGAUCCGCCUGCCUCUGCCUCCCAAGUGCAGGAUUAAAGAUGUGUGCUACUUGCCCGGCAAGUGUCCAGUUUAAACUCAGGUCAUCAGCCUUGGCAGCAAGUACCUUUAGCCUCUGAGCCAUCGCACUGUAUAUUUGUAGCUUAAGGUUAGGAUUCUUCUUUAAUUAUUUUUUAUUUCCUUUUAAUUUAAUGUUUUUAUCUUUAAUUUUUGGCUUUUUGAUACAAAGUCUCAUGUAGCUGGCCUCAAACUUCGGGUCCUUCCAAAUACUUGUGUUACAAAGGAAUAGUAUUACACCAACAUUAUUAUUAUUAUUAUUUAUUUUUUGUUUUUUUUGAGACAGGGUUUCUCUGUGUAGCCCUGGCUGUCCUGGAACUCACUCUGUAGACCAGGCUGGCCUCGAACUCAGAAAUCCACCUGCCUCUGCCUCCCGAGGGCUGGGAUUAAAGGCGUGCACUACCACGCCCAGCUUUUUUUCUUUCUUUCUUUUUUUUUUUUCCUAUUUUUUUUUUAAAGAGAGAGUCUCACUGUGUAGUAGACUGGUGUUGAACUCACAGAGGUCUGCCCACCUUUGACUCCUGAAUAGGAUUAAAGGAAUUCACCACAUUCAUCCUGUUUUAUUCUUGCUAGUAUUGGGGAUUGGACCCCUGGCUUCGCACAUGAUAGGCAAGCACUCUUCCAUUGAACUAUAUCUCCAGUCCGUUUAUCUAAUUUUUAUCAAUGAAAUACAGAUACAUAGAAGGACAAAAAAAAAAAAAUGUCAAUGAGAUGGCUCACUGGGUAAAGGUGCUUGCUGCCAAACCUGAUGACCCGAGUUUGACCUCUGAGACUCACAUGGUGGAAACGGACUCCUGAGAGUGAUCUCUGACCUCCACGUGUGAGCCUUGGCAUGUGCACACAAUAAGAUUGAAAUAAACUCUUAUAUAUAUCUGAAAGCCCCAAAGUUAGGAUAGUUACAAGAUGUAGUGUAAACCUCUUUUAGACCUUUCCCCUGCAUCUUCCAGUUUCCUUAAUCAGUUUCCUUCAAUCUUUUCAAGCAUUUUUGUCUGACUACCCUCUGUAUUUCUAAAUUAUGAGUCUCUUUCUGUCCCGCGUCUAGCUGCUAAGGCGUGGUAAGAUAUAACUGAAGAUGAGGGUCUGUUUGUUUGUGUAUGUGUUUUGUUUUGUUUCUGAGAUGGUUUUCCUGUGUAGCCUCGGCUGUCCUGGAACUUCCUUGGUAGACCAGACCUCACCUGCCUCCUGAGUGCUGGGAUUAAAGUGUGAGCCACUAUAGUUACCCAAUACUCUCCGCCUACCUUGCUUUCUCUUUUCUCUUCCCAAAGGAGGAAUUUCAUAAUUUCUUGUUAAGUCAUUUAUACCACUAUAACUAUGUAAAUAUUAUUCACAACUGAGCCAAGUAGUAAACUCUGCUUGUAUUUUUCUCUUUGUUUUUUCCUGAAGUUAGUAUUCUCUUUGCUUUCUUUUUUUAAUCCCCUGAGUUUUCUCCGGAUCCAAGGUAAUUUCUCUUAUAUCUUCCAACAAGCUCUCCACCCAGUUUGAGACAACUAGAUGCAUCCUGUUUGGUUCCAUAUUUUCUUGGUUCCUUCUAUCCUCUCGAUUGGUCCGAGCUGAUUGUCCUCAGACUGGACAGCCCUUUCUUAGCUCUUGUCUUGACAGAAGUCCAAUCCCUGCUACUCUCUCAGAACAGAAGACACUUGACCUUGCUCUGUCCCACUCUGGGCUUAAUCCCUAUCCUUCACUGGAUGGAAUCUCCCCCAGGACUCAAUCUGGUCUUCAUUCUUACAACUGUGGCUUGAGUAGGUCCCGUGCUUAUCUCUACCUCUCCUUGUCCAUUUUCGUUGAAUGUUUAAACAGCACAUUUUCCUCCUGGUGUAUUUAUUUUUGUAUUUGUGCUUAGACUGAGAAGGGAACCUUGUACUGUCUUGGCUAAGUUGUAGCACGUGCUCUGGUGCCCUCUCUGUUCCCACAGGAUCCAUAGGAGGACCUUCUCUAGCCUCUCUAGACUGUUCUGUUGUUCAUACGCACUCGGCAGAGAUGAAGAACUCAGCCUGCCUCACACAAUAAGGGUCUUUUCUGGGAGACUGGAAUGCAGAAGCCCGAGGUCUGUGCCUUGCAUUGUCUCUGAUGCUCAGAGACAGGUGCUCAGAGUCCCUCCUCCAGUGGGUAAAGCCAGGAGGGAUGGGCAUGUUUGUGCAAACACAUGUUUACAGGUAUGACGGGAAGUCACACGGUAUCACCUCAUAACACAUGGUUCCUUUCCUUCUUUCUCUUUAUAUUCUUUAAUUUCUAAGUUAGCAUAUAGUUUCACUCUAGCAUUUUCAUACACAGGCAAUUCUCCUUUCUCACCAGUCCCAGGCCCCAGCUGACACUUGUCCAGGGAGAUCAGCAAGUGUGCACAUAUGGAAGGGAGACCAGCAUUUGACCAGCUGUCUAAGCACACCAGUAUGGCAAGGUCCAGGCGGUGAGCUUGGUGGGCCUGGUAGUUGGGUCCCUGCUACUGCCCGCAUGCUGGAGGUUCUCUAGGCAGGCACCAAGCCUCCAAUUCUUCAGCCGACAUGACUGUGCCUAAGGCUUAGAUGCUCCAUUUACCCUCAUGGAGGCCUGGCCCAUAGCAUGAUUGUGUCACGGGCCAGGACAGCUGUGGGAGGGGUUGAAGGAAGAAAGCCAGCAGGUGGAAAAACCUCCACUGAGCUCGGGGAACCCAUGGAGCCUUGCUAGCUCUGUCUGUCACAGCUGCCCUGACCCUGUGGAUCCGGCUGCUUGAAUGGAACCCAGUCCUCUUGAAUGGAGGGGAAACCUCUGAGUUCGUUGAGUUCGUAAGCCAGAGAAGCCAGCCUGAGACCCUUCUUGUUUUCUAGGGCUCUUUACUCCUUCCUAUAUGCCCUUUAGGGACAAGUACCUUUAUGUUGUACCUGGCCAUGGCUGCUUCGCUGGGUUCUGUACCUAGGAGUCAAUGCUAGUCCCUGCUUGGGUCUUAAGAUAGCUACAGGACGCAUUUUAGCAUCUUUGAAAGCACUGGACACCCAGACUGGUGCCCAGGGCCCCACUAAGAUAAAGAUCAUAACUUCCUUGUUUGUUUGUUUUGAGAUGGGCCUCACUGUGUAGGCUAGGCUAGGCUGGAACCCAGAGAUCUGUUUGAUUCUGUUCCCAAGUGCUUGAGUAAAAAUAAAAAGUGUGUUUUAGCUUGCAUAGAUCA